ensembl:lncRNA
AUAUAGAGCUCUGGGUGGGCAGAGACCAGGACUGUCAUAGCACCCAUCCUGGGUCCGCUGGACAGAAAUGCUCAUAAAUAUUUGUGGGAAGAAAGGACCGUGUGAAUAAUAUAAAUCAGUGAAAAUGUGCUCUGCUUUGUUCUGAGGGUAAUCAAUUAAGAAAUUUAACUGUUAACAGUUCAAAGAAAUUCAAAGCAGAAGACCGGAGAAAGCGGCACAAAUGAGGUUAAAGAAAUAGCAGAUUCUUCUGCUGGAAGAUCAUGCACUGACCGGCCUACACAGGCAACUUGUUUCUGUUGGAAAUUUUAUUACACGUUGUAAGAUAACUGGAAUUCUGCUUUAAAAAAACAAAAAGAAUUCCUUUAAUGGGCAAAAUUGGCACAAACGCAGGUGGACAUUAUAUAAAGUGAAAGCUUCAGGAAACAGACCAUUCGUUUCACCUUGAUCUGCUGAAUCACAUACAAGGGCGAAAGACUCCCGCCGCCCCCACCCCCCUCCCCCACACACCGAUAUUCAACACUCUCUUGCACAGAAAACUGAAACAACCCUCUAAACAUCGACUCUUUCUGUCCCCUCCAAGACAUUAAAGUCAGCAAGUGCAAGGUCAGCCUCGUGAGCAGCCUUUCUCGGAGGACAGGCUGGAGCCCGAGGCCGAGUGCAGCCUCUGCCGUAGGGUGUGCAAAGGGUAAGGCCUGUCUCCGAAACUCUAGCGCGGGGGGCGGCAGUCAUUGAAAUUGAUGCCAGAACUCUCGUUAUUCCGUUUUUCGGCCAUUUUCAUCACAGAACCAUUAACUAAGACAUUGCUAGCAACAGGACGGCCCCCUCACCCCCCCGUCCCAGAACUGCCAGCCGCCGGCAGCGCGCAGGAAGGGGAGGCACAAGGCCGCGCGAAGGCUCGUACGCUGACCGGCCAAUAUGGCCACUUUCACGUGGCUGUGGGCUACCGCGGCUCCCCGUCACCCGGGCAUCCCCAGGC